rnacentral:rRNA from 1 species
AAUCAACGCUGGCGGCGUGCCUAACACAUGCAAGUCGAACGCGAAAGCCCUUUCGGGGGUAAGUAGAGUGGCGUCCGGGUGAGUAACACGUAGGUAAUCUGCCUUCGGGUGGGGAAGUAACCAGUCGAAAGAUUGGCUAAUACCGCAUAAUGCAGCGGCACCUAAUGGUGAUUAGUUGUUAAAGCGGGGGAGUCUAAGACCUCGCGCCUGAAGAGGAGCCUGCGGCAGAUUAGCUAGNGGUUGAGGUAAUGGCUCACCAAGGCUUCGAUCUGUAGCUGGUCUGAGAGGACGGCCAGCCACACUGGCACUGACACACGGGCCAGACUCCUACGGGAGGCAGCAGUAAGGAAUAUUGCGCAAU